UACAGAGGUCUCAAGCGUUGUUCGGAUUCAUUGGGCGUAAAGGGUGCGUAGGCGGCGCCGUAAGUCGGAUGUGAAAUCUUCGGGCUCAACCCGGAAACUGCACUCGAUACUGCGGUGCUUGAGGACUGGAGAGGAGAUCGGAAUUCACGGUGUAGCAGUGAAAUGCGUAGAUAUCGUGAGGAAGACCAGUGGCGAAGGCGGAUCUCUGGACAGUUCCUGACGCUGAGGCACGAAGGCCAGGAGAGCAAACGGG
rnacentral:rRNA from 1 species